ACAGCCACCAAACAAAUGUGAACCAGAGCUUGAGGACAAGCCAUACAGCCCAGCAGCCCAUGUGAGCCAGGUCACCGAAGGAGACCAAAUGACCUCGCAAGUCACUGACUGCUCCUGGGCUGCCAUCAUGACCAUCUGCUCAGCAGAGCAGCUGGGCGAGUGCAGUGAGCUCUGUAAUGCCAGUCAGAAAACAAGGUUGGAGCCUGGGCACUUCAUUCGAUCUUAUGGUGAAUGGAAUGAAAAGCAUAUUCUAAGCACAGAGCGUGUAACAGGGGAAACAGCCAUGCAUGGUAAGAAUUACUUCCGUGCUGAGUGAGUUCUCGUAACCUUGUGCCGAGCGUACAACACACUUUCGGCGGGGGCAGCGAAACAAGGACAUGACGGAGCUGUGGAACGGGGGCCCGCUUAGCACUCCUGGGUCCCCUUUCACUUCGCUGACUUUGAAACGCUCUUUAUUUUCUUCACAGCACUGUGACAGGGCACUAGGAGGACAAGGCCAGGGGACGCUGGGGCUGGUGCUCACCCCACAAUUAACAGGCUGAAUGACCUCGGACAAGUCACCUCCAUGAGAGCUCAGAACACUUCUGCACUUGGGCCUCAAUGCCUAAACUGCAAGUUAUUGGGAAAAAGCUGCAUCAGGAUCACGGUCUGCUUCUAGGCUACAAAGACUAAUCAGGCUCCUAGUUACAGCCAUCUGUGCUCUUCCCAGCAGUGCCCUCCCCUCAGACAAACGUGGUGGGAUGACAACAAAAAGCCAUGCCCGAUGCUCCCUCCAGAAGCACGGAAACCUGUCCCUAAAGCCCCGCUCACCGAACCCAAGGCCGCCCCCGCCCAGCCCCAGUUCUCACUAGUCUCCAGGGCUUCACCAUGGCACUGCCUGUGCACUGCAGGUAACACUUGUGAGUCCUGCUCAGGUACUCAGAUAGACGCAGAUUACACAGAAUGUCAAGCCAGGUCAGAUGAGGUAGCCUGUGAUGGUGGCCCACCUACUCAGCAAUCACAGAAGACCUCCUUGCCUCUGCUUUACCCAAACGGCCUCUUCUUUUCUGCUCCCUGGAGGCUAAACUUACCUGUCCCCACACACAAGCUGGGGCCCAGGCAUAGGAUCCAAAGGUGGCCUACACAGCCUGCCGCCUCCUCUGCCAGCCUCUGGCUCCACAGGCAGAAGAGCAAAGCAGAGAGCAGAUGGGAGGCUGGGCGGGAGAGAGGGUCUGAUCUGAGUGCAUCCCGUUUCCUGUGUGCCAUCACCUAAAGCAGCACAACCUGCCAACUUCAAACCCACCUCCAGGUGCGUCCACCCUGAGGCAGGGAAAAGUGCCUCGCCCUGGGCCCGAGGUCUUCCUCGCCCUGAGCCAGAGGCUCCUGCCACCUCCCCUCCACCGCGGUUGCCUCUCCAGUGCCUCUGUCAUCUGGACCCUCCUACCUCCCCCAGCAAAGGUGAAGGUAAAACACAUCCGCCCCAGCCUCCUUGAGCCUCUGCAAAUACUGCUUUGCUAUUCUCCUCUUCAGCAGCUCCAAGAUUUUUAAAUCCUCAAUGUAACAGGCUCUCUGUUUACUCUUUAACUUGCUACAAUUCACCUUUUGCCUACUUCCAAACCAUGGACAGCAUUAACAAAAUAAUCCGUAUACUUUUACCUUUCUGCUAACUCUAAUGGAUAUUUUUGUUUAUCCUCCUUACCAUCCCCAAGCAGCCACAGCCCUUUCACUGUGAGCUGGCCCAUGGGCUCAUGACAAGGCCUCCUCCGUUCCCCAUCGCCAGACCUUCCCCCUGCAGUUCAGGGGCCUCUGUCUACCGUGUGCCUGUGUGUGCCCACCUGUGGGCACUGCCUCUGCACUGACUGCAUCUCAGCUCCAGCCUGCUGAUCCUGCAUUCUCUGGGAAGUCCCCACGCAAACCUCCAGCUGUCCAGAUGUGAACUGACUGGUCCUCCACCCCAAACCCAUCCUCCUAUGAUUCCUAACAGUGAGGAGCAGCCCCUCUCCCCAGCUGCUGGAGCCUGGAAACUGAGUCCCCUUCCCCUCCUCUCCCUUCCGUGCCACUGGGGCUCAUCAGCCUCAAAUCCCUGCAGAGUUCACCUGGUCUCCCAAACACAGUCCUUCCUCCCCAGGCCCACAACCUCUACUCUAGUUCAGGUCAGUUCCCUCUCCUUGAAGUCCAGGGACUGACAGAACUGGCCUGACCCUGGCCAGCCUGGGGACAAGACACUCCCAGCACUGCCCUUCUCCACCGAGCAAAUCUUACCACUCUUCUCUCCCUGUGAACGCGCUUCAGUAACUCUCCACUGGCUGCAAUUCGAGAAAGCAGUGGCUUGCUGGAGUGUGUCAAUAAUAAUCAAGAUGAUCAGAUCAGAAGAACAAAUGGAGACACAACAGGCUUUUCAAUGGCAGAGCCAAAGAGCAAGGAGAGGGAUACAUCUCCUAACAAAUCAAAACAGUUUCCCAGUUAAAAAUCCUAACCCAAGAAACACUAACAGAUGUACUGCAAAAAAAAAAAAAAAAAAAGAAAGAAAGAAAGAAAUUAAAAAGGG